rnacentral:rRNA from 1 species
GACGAACGCUGGCGGCGCGCUUAACACAUGCAAGUCGAGCGAGAACCAGUCCUUCGGGACUGGGGACAGCGGCGAACGGGUGAGUAACACGUGGGUAAUCUGCCCUCGGCACCGGAAUAGCCCGGGGAAACCCGGAUUAAUGCCGGAUGGCCUCUCCGCCCUUCGGGGCGGUGAGAAAAGGUAGCUUCGGCCUCCGGCCGAGGAUGAGCCCGCGGCCGAUUAGCUUGCUGGUGAGGUAACGGCUCACCAAGGCGACGAUCGGUAGCUGGUCUGAGAGGCCGAUCAGCCACACUGGGACUGAGACACGGCCCAGACUCCUACGAGAGGCAGGAGUGGGGAAUCUUGCGCAAUGGGCGAAAGCCUGACGCAGCGACGCCGCGUGCGGGAAGAAGGCCUUCGGGUUGUAAACCGCUUUCAGGAGGGACGAAGCCACUCGGGUUAAUAGCCUAGAGGGUGACGGUACCUCCAGAAGAAGCCCCGGCUAACUACGUGCCAGCAGCCGCGGUAAUAC